rnacentral:rRNA from 1 species
UAGGGAAUCUUCCACAAUGGAUGCAAGUCUGAUGGAGCAACGCCGCGUGAGUGAAGAAGGUUUUCGGAUCGUAAAGCUCUGUUGUUGGUGAAGAAGGAUAGAGGUAGUAACUGGCCUUUAUUUGACGGUAAUCAACCAGAAAGUCACGGCUAACUACGUGCCAGCAGCCGCGGUAAUACGUAGGUGGCAAGCGUUGUCCGGAUUUAUUGGGCGUAAAGCGUGCGCAGGCGGAAGAAUAAGUCUGAUGUGAAAGCCCUCGGCUUAACCGAGGAACUGCAUCGGAAACUGUUUUUCUUGAGUGCAGAAGAGGAGAGUGGAAUUCCAUGUGUAGCGGUGGAAUGCGUAGAUAUAUGGAAGAACACCAGUGGCGAAGGCGACUCUCUGGUCUGCAACUGACGCUGAGGCUCGAAAGCAUGGGUAGCGAACAGG